rfam:Toxocara canis scaffold528, whole genome shotgun sequence.
CGGGCAGUACCUCAGUGGCAGUGCCCCCGCUUCCUAUUCGGGAAGACCUGGGUUCGAUUCCCGGCUGCUCAC